CACGUAGGGUGCGAGCGUUGUCCGGAAUUAUUGGGCGUAAAGAGCUCGUAGGCGGUGUGUCGCGUCAGCCGUGAAAACCUGCAGCUUAACUGUGGGCGUGCGGUCGAUACGGGCAUCACUGGAGUUCGGCAGGGGAGACUGGAAUUCCUGGUGUAGCGGUGAAAUGCGCAGAUAUCAGGAGGAACACCGGUGGCGAAGGCGGGUCUCUGGGCCGAUACUGACGCUGAGGAGCGAAAGUGUGGGGAGCAAACAGG
rnacentral:rRNA from 1 species